rnacentral:rRNA from 1 species
AGAGUUUGAUUAUGGCUCAGAACGAACGCUGGCGGCAGGCCUAACACAUGCAAGUCGAGCGCGCCCUUCGGGGUGAGCGGCGGACGGGUUAGUAACGCGUGGGAACGUACCCUUUGGUAGGGAAUAGCCACUGGAAACGGUGAGUAAUACCCUAUGAGCCCUUCGGGGGAAAGAUUUAUCGCCAAAGGAUCGGCCCGCGUUAGAUUAGGUAGUUGGUGGGGUAAUGGCCUACCAAGCCUACGAUCUAUAGCUGGUUUUAGAGGAUGAUCAGCAACACUGGGACUGAGACACGGCCCAGACUCCUACGGGAGGCAGCAGUGGGGAAUCUUGGACAAUGGGGGCAACCCUGAUCCCAGCCAUGCCGCGUGAGUGAAGAAGGCCUUAGGGUCGCAAAGCUCUUUCGCCUGUGAAGAUAAUGACGGUAGCAGGUAAAGAAACCCCGGCUAACUCCGUGCCAGCAGCGGC